GGGGGAGGUCGGACUGGGGAGGUCGGCGCACAAAAGGUAACGGAGGCGCGUAAAGAUGCUCGCAGAACGGGCGGAAAGCGUACGGAAAGUGCAAAGUCAAAAGAGGGCGGGGUUGAAAGACAUACAGGGCGAGAAGGGAUGAAAAGCGGACUUAGUGAUGCGGUGGUGCUGCGUGGGAGGGCCAGCGAUCAGCGGAUAAAAGCUACCAUGGGGAUAACAGGCUUAUCUCCCGCAAGAGUCCACAUGGACGGGGAGGUUUGGCACCUCGAUGUCGGCUCAUCACAUCCUGGGGCUGUAGUAGGUCCCAAGGGU
rnacentral:rRNA from 1 species